CACUCCAGCUGAAGAUCCCUAAAGCUCAGUAGCUCCUCCACUCCAGCUGAAGAUCCCUAAAGCUCAGUAGCUCCUCCACUCCAGCUGAAGAUCCCUAAAGCUCAGUAUGUCCUCCACUCCAGCUGAAGAUCACUAAAGCUCAGCAUCACCUCUACUCCAGCUGAAGAUCACUUCUCUCAUUGCCUCUUUAAUGUCUGCUUCACAACAUUUUUCACAAGUUAGUUGUGUGAUGCGCUGUCUUCCUCACAAGAACCUUAUCUCCAGUGACAGCAGGGAAUGAGGGUUGGGACGAGACCUGCAGAGCAUAUGCUCUGGGUAUUUGGUGGCCCUUCUGGUGAGCACUGGCAUUCCUUGAGGUCAACCUGUGCUGAAGACAGGAAGAUUUUACCCAAGUACAUAACUAAGAGAAGAUCACUCGCAGAAGAUUUCUUCCCCAAAAGCAAUAAUGUGAAGGACACUUGUACCCAGACAGUGAGGGCCACUGCCUCCUGCUAUGCUUUUAGCUCCCCCCAUAGCUGAGCCCUCCUGACCGGAAAACCUGACGGGACCACUUUUUUCAUCCCUCAGUCUCCCAGAGGUCCCAUAAAACUGAACCAGGCUUGAUGCUGACACUGGACCAGGGCAAUGUAGGCCCACUGGAGCCGGGGGAGAGUGUGACAGAGAGUGUCAAAGUCAAAAUAAAAAUAUAAAGACAAAUCUCUAA